rnacentral:rRNA from 1 species
UGGAUUUUUGGCGCGGCCGUCCGGCGGGGCUCUCUUUUACGGGGGCCGUUUGUCUGGUCUUCGGCCGCUGCCAUUGUUUGUGGGCUGCUAGGCUGGCAUUAGGUUGUCGGCUCUUGGGGCGCCGAUCGUUUACUGUGAAAAAA